rnacentral:rRNA from 1 species
UACGGAGGAUGCAAGCGUUAUCCGGAAUGAUUGGGCGUAAAGCGUCCGCAGGUGGCUGUGUAAGUCUGCUGUUAAAUAGUGAGGCUCAACCUCAUAAAGGCAGUGGAAACUACACGGCUUGAGUGCGUUCGGGGCAGAGGGAAUUCCUGGUGUAGCGGUGAAAUGCGUAGAGAUCAGGAAGAACACCGGUGGCGAAAGCGCUCUGCUAGGCCGCAACUGACACUGAGGGACGAAAGCUAGGGGAGCGAAUGGG